rnacentral:misc_RNA from 1 species
GAUGAAGAACGCAGCGUAAUGCGAUAAGUAAUGUGAAUUGCAGAAUUCAGUGAAUCAUCGAAUCUUUGAACGCACAUUGCGCCCGUCAGUAUUCUGGCGGGCAUGCCUGUUCGAGCGUCAUUACGCCCCUCAAGUCCCCUGUGGACUUGGUGUUGGGGAUCGGCGAGGCUGGUUUUCCAGCACAGCCGUCCCUUAAAUUAAUUGGCGGUCUCGCCGUGGCCCUCCUCUGCGCAGUAGUAAAACACUCGCAACAGGAGCCCGGCGCGGUCCACUGCCGUAAAACCCCCCAACUUUUUAUAGUUGACCUCGAAUCAGGUAGGACUACCCGCUGAACUUAAGCAUAUCAAUAAGCGGAGGA